AUUGAACGCUGGCGGAAGGCCUAACACAUGCAAGUCGAGCGAGCGGCGGACGGGUGAGUAAUGUCUGGGAAACUGCCUGAUGGAGGGGGAUAACUAGUGAAAACGGUAGCUAAUACCGCAUACCAUCAGAUGUGCCCAGAUGGGAUGAGCUAGUCGGUGGGGUAAAGGCUCCCCGAGGCGACGAUCACUAGCUGGUAUGAGCGGAUGACCAGCCACACUGGAACUGAGACACGGGCCAGACUCCUACGGUAGGCAGCAGUGGGGAAUAUUGCACAAUGGGCGCAAGCCUGAUGCAGCCAUGCCGCGUGUAUGAAGAAGGCCUUCGGGUUGUAAAGUACUUUCAGCGGGGAGGCGUUACCCGCAGAAGAAGCACCGGCUAACUCCGUGCCAGCAGCCGCGGUAAUAC
rnacentral:rRNA from 1 species